rnacentral:tRNA from 1 species
UGAGAAUAUAGCUCAGUAGGAGAGUGCUUGCCUAACAUGCAUAGGGCCCUGGUUUCAAUCCCCAGUACCACAA